UAGAUAUAUGUAUUUUCUUUCCCUCCCAUCUUGUGAUCUCAACCUUAAAUAUAUAUAUAAUAUUCUCAUGUGCUGUUCUUGCGUACUGUAAGAGAGAGAGAGAGAGAGAGAGAGAGAGAGAGAGCAUGAAGGUGUUGUGGUUUCUUGUACGCUUGUACUGUGUUUUUCUGCUGAUCUUCCUGCAUGCAUCCUUUGGUACUGCAAAAAAGGGUGCUCCGGUUAAUAUUGCCAGUCCAAAUGGCCGCGAGGCCGAUGGCGGCCAGAUCAGAGCUAGUUCUCCAUCACGUCCCAUCGGAAAGCCCCCAAGCCACCCAUGAGAUCAUCAAUCACAUGCACCUACCUUGCUAGUUCAAUAAAUCAAGCUGCAUACUAAUUAAUAUAAUAUAUAUAUAUAUAUGUUUAAUAAAGAGAUGAUGAAACAGCAGAUAUUAUAUAUAGCCUAUAUGCAGGCUGAGAUCAUUUCUUGUAUGAAACUUAAUUUGCAAUUAAUUCUCUAGUGAGUUAAUUAUUUCCGUCUGCUACUUCUAUUAAUUGAUCGAUCUAUUAGAAUUCGUAUAAUUUUUUACAUUAAUCUAUAUUAUUAAUUAUUAUUACUAUUAAUCUAAUGAGUAAUUCUACAUGCAA